CCUACGGGCGGCAGCAGUGGGGAAUAUUGGGCAAUGGAGGCAACUCUGACCCAGCAACGCCGCGUGAAUGAUGAAUGUCUUCGGAUUGUAAAGUUCUUUUCUAAGGGAAGAAGAAAGUGACGGUACCUUAUGAAUAAGCCUCGUCUAACUACGUGCCAGCAGCCGCGGUAAUACGUAGGAGGCAAGCGUUAUCCGGAAUGACUGGGUUAAAGGGGUUCGCGGGGGGAAGAUCAAGUCAGCGGUAAAAUUGAGAGGCUCAACCUCUUCGAGCCGUUGAAACUGGCUGUCUUGAGUGAGCUAGAGGUAUGCGGAAUGCGUGGUGUAGCGGUGAAAUGCAUAGAUAUCACGAAGAACUCCGAUUGCGAAGGCAGCAUACCGGCGCUCAACUGACGCUCAUGCACGAAAGUGUGGGUAUCGAACAGGAUUAGAUACCCCUGUAGUC
rnacentral:rRNA from 1 species